UGCAGUGCCUAAUGUGAACACCUUCGGUAUUCAUCAAAAAUACCAAAGGUGCUCAAAUUAGACAUUGCA
ensembl:miRNA